rnacentral:misc_RNA from 1 species
GAUGAAGAACGCAGCGAAAUGCGAUACGUAAUGUGAAUUGCAGAAUUCAGUGAAUCAUCGAGUCUUUGAACGCACAUUGCGCCCCCUGGUAUUCCGGCGGGCAUGCCUGUCCGAGCGUCAUUGCUGCCCUCAAGCCCGGCUUGUGUGUUGGGUCUCGUCCCCCUUCCCGGGGGGACGGGCCCGAAAGGCAGCGGCGGCACCGCGUCCGGUCCUCGAGCGUAUGGGGCUUUGUCACCCGCUCUGUAGGCCCGGCCGGCGCUUGCCGAUCAACCAAAACUUUUUUCCAGGUUGACCUCGGAUCAGGUAGGGAUACCCGCUGAACUUAAGCAUAUCAAUAAGCGGAGGA